rnacentral:rRNA from 1 species
AACGUAGGUGGCGAGCGUUAUCCGGAUUUACUGGGCGUAAAGCGUGUGCAGGCGGGGACCAAGUGGUGUAUGAAAUCGCCCGGCUAAACCGGGCUAGGUUAUGCCAGACUGGUUUUCUGGAGUGCGAGAGAGGGGCGCGGAAUUCCCGGUGUAGCGGUGAAAUGCGUAGAGAUCGGGAGGAACACCCAGGGGGAAACCAGCCGGCUGGGGACGUGCUGACGCUCAGGGGCGAAAGCGUGGGGAGCAAACAGG